rnacentral:rRNA from 1 species
CCUACGGGGGGCAGCAGUGAGGAAUAUUGGUCAAUGGGCGAGCGCCUGAACCAGCCAAGUCGCGUGAAGGAUGAAUGAUCUAUGGUUUGUAAACUUCUUUUAUCUGGGAGUAACGUGAGGAACGUGUUCCUUUUUGUAUGUACCCUAUGAAUAAGCAUCGGCUAAAUCCGUGCCAGCUGCCGCGGUAAUACGGAGGAUGCGAGCGUUAUCCGGGUUUAUUGGGGUUAAAGGGUUCGUCGGUGGUUAAGUAAGUUAGCGGGGAAAGUUUGUGGCUCAAACAUAAAAUUGCCGUUGAAACUGGUUGAGUUGAGUAUAUUUGAGGUAGGCGGAAUGCGUGGUGUAGCGGUGAAAUGCAUAGAUAUCACGCAGAACUCCGAUUGCGAAGGCAGCUUACCAAACUCUAACUGACACUGUAUCACGAAAGCGUGGGGAUCAAACAGGAUUAGAUACCCCUGUAGUC